rnacentral:rRNA from 1 species
CCUACGGGUGGCAGCAGUGAGGAAUAUUGGUCAAUGGACGAGAGUCUGAACCAGCCAAGUAGCGUGAAGGAUGACUGCCCUAUGGGUUGUAAACUUCUUUUAUAUGGGAAUAAAAUGUUCCACGUGUGGGAUUUUGUAUGUACCCUAUGAAUAAGGAUCGGCUAACUCCGUGCCAGCAGCCGCGGUAAUACGGAGGAUCCGAGCGUUAUCCGGAUUUAUUGGGUUUAAAGGGAGCGUAGGUGGAUUGUUAAGUCAGUUGUGAAAGUUUGCGGCUCAACCGUAAAAUUGCAGUUGAAACUGGCAGUCUUGAGUACAGUAGAGGUGGGCGGAAUUCGUGGUGUAGCGGUGAAAUGCUUAGAUAUCACGAAGAACUCCGAUUGCGAAGGCAGUUCACUGGACGGCAACUGACACUGAGGCUCGAAAGUGUGGGUAUCAAACAGGAUUAGAUACCCUAGUAGUC